rnacentral:rRNA from 1 species
AACGAACGCUGGCGGCAUGCCUAACACAUGCAAGUCGAACGAGACCUCCCGGCUUAGUGGCGCUCGGGUGCGUAACGAGGGGGAAGCUGCCCUUAGGUACGGAAUAACUCCCUGUAAGGGGAGCUAAUAACGGAGAAUGUAAUAGGACCAAAGAUUUAUCGCCUUGGGAUGGGCCUGGGUUGGUUUAGCCGGUUGGUAGGGUAAAAGCCUAUCAAGGCGUCGUUCCAUAGCUGGUGGGAGAGGAUGAUCCGCCACACUGGGGCUACGACACGGCCCAGACUCCUACGGAAGGCAGCAGUGGGGUAUACAGGAGGAUGGACGAUGGCCUGAUACAGCAAUGCCGGGUGAGUGAUGAAGGCGUUAGUGUUGUACAGCUGUUUUACCCGGGAUGAUAAUGACAGUACCGGGAGAAUAAGCACCGGCUAACUCCGUG